UACAACCUGAAGCAGAACUACAACAGACUUUGAUAUCUUGAUUGUGACCCUCAGAAAUUAAGAUGCGACUUGUACUCAUCUCCUUGCUGGUCGUGUUGGUGUCUGCGACUGUGAGAGCAGAGAACGACGAGAUAACCAAGGAAUCUGAUGGAAUGGACAGUCAUGAAUUUUGGUUUCUAUUAUUUUGUACGUCAUGCGAACAAGAAAACUGUGGUGACGCUAGUCUCAGCUGUUUGCAGAAGAGAGUUUUAAACAAUCAAUUUGCUGGAAUCAUUGAUUUUCCAUGAACCAAGGUGUUGGUUUAUUAUAAACGUACUAUUUGGGAGCUCUAAUUCCAACAUCAGAA